GCUAACUUCAUGUAAAAAUUGCUCAGGCGAGACCGGGAGGCUACGUGCAGACUGCAGACUUACAAUUUUGCUUAGCUGAAAUGAAACGAAAAGAGAAAAAUAAGUACACAAGUAAAGACGCCAUUGGAGGGAAGAGGAGAAGAGGUAGGGUAUUAUAAUAAGGAGGAGGCUAUAUAAGAAGCAGAGCUGUGGCUUAGUUAUAUAGAAGAGAGGAGGGGGUCAGUGAAACCCUAAUUGCGCCGUUGUGGAUCUGUGAAGCUAAUGGGCUCUUCUUUCCACAAUUAAAAUGUAAGAAUAUGAAUUCAUAUAUAAAAGAAUUAAAUUGAAGUCAAGUAUAGAAGGAGAUUGAUAUUUUAUUCAA